rnacentral:lncRNA from 1 species
AUUCCAGAUUCUAAAGAUUUUAGAACGAUAGGUUAAGCGCAGAAUGUGUUUUCCAAAUAUUUUUAGAUUACUAUUAUAUACAUAGAUCACGUAUUCUAAACAUAUUAGAUUCAAUGAAAAAAGUAGAUUACAUUUUCUACUGUGUAGAAUGUCAAUUCUACUUUUUAUAGAACAAAAUAUAAAAUUACGAUCUAAAUAUAUUUAGAAUUAUAAAAAAAUACCAGCAAGUUGAUAUAGGUAUUUCAUCAGUAGUUACUAUUUUUUGAAUUUUUUUUGUUUGUAAAACUAUUUAUUUGAUUUAUUUUUGAAAAUACUAAAAGGUAUUAGAGGAAAAAUGGUACAAAAAAGAAAUUAGCCUAAUAUGACAUAGUUAUCAUUUUUUGGCCUAAAAAAACAAUUUUCCCUUUUAUUUUUUGUAUUAUGAAGUUUCAUCAGUUUAAUGUUUAUUCUAGAAUGCAUAAAAUUAUAACUACAUGUUUAUUUAGUUCAUGACUUUUAUAAUUCAUAUUUAAAAAAAAAGAACUCUCACAAAAUUAUCUAAGAAAUCUUAAUUUAUUUUGGUAUUUUAUAAAAAAAUAUU